rnacentral:misc_RNA from 1 species
GCCCAAUCUAAGUGUCUGGCUAAGCUUCUCAUAGUUCCACCUCUGCUGAAUAUACACAACAACUGCCAGUACAACUGCAGCCACUGGUAUGGCAAUGUCUCCAAACUUUGUGUAAAAAUCAAACCUGGGGUUCACAAACUCGUACUCUUCCGAGAAAUAGGGAUUGGGAACAGGAGAUCUGAUGUAAUCAUACACAUGAGGCAGAAGUCUAACCGACGUAAGUCCAAUAUAAUAUAGCUUCCUCAGUGGUUUGCAAUGGAUUUGCCAAAAAAGGUUUCCUAUUACUUGAGGAAGCAAAAAGAAAUCUUGAAUCAAACCCAUGUACUCCUCCAAUUCAGUUUCCCAUUCCCUCAAGGUGUGAAAAUUUCCAGUGGAAUCUACGUAACGUUCAGCAUGAAGAGGUUUCUGGCUUGUAUUGAAGGAGUGGAUAAACAGAACAAUG